UACGUAGGGGGCUAGCGUUGUCCGGAUUUAUUGGGCGUAAAGAGCGUGUAGGCGGCCAGGUAGGUCUGGUGUGAAAACUCGAGGCUUAACCUCGAGAUGUCAUCGGAAACCAUUUGGCUAGAGUCCGGAAGAGGAGAGUGGAAUUCCUGGUGUAGCGGUGAAAUGCGCAGAUAUCAGGAAGAACACCAAUGGCGAAAGCAGCUCUCUGGGACGGUACUGACGCUGAGACGCGAAAGCGUGGGUAGCAAACAGG
rnacentral:rRNA from 1 species